AUUGAGCGCUGGCGGAAUGCUUUACACAUGCAAGUCGAACGGUAGAGGGGGCAACCCCUCGAGAGUGGCGAACGGGUGAGUAAUAUAUCGGAACGUGCCCAGUCGUGGGGGAUAACGUAGCGAAAGUUACGCUAAUACCGCAUACGAUCUAAGGAUGAAAGCGGGGGAUCGCAAGACCUCGCGCGAUUGGAGCGGCCGAUAUCAGAUUAGGUAGUUGGUGGGGUAAAGGCUCACCAAGCCAACGAUCUGUAGCUGGUCUGAGAGGACGACCAGCCACACCGGAACUGAGACACGGUCCAGACUCCUACGGGAGGCAGCAGGGGGGAAUUUUGGACAAUGGACGCAAGUCUGAUCCAGCCAUUCCGCGUGCAGGAUGAAGGCCCUCGGGUUGUAAACUGCUUUUGUACGGAACGAAAAGGUCUCUCUUAAUACGGGGGACUCAUGACGGUACCGUAAGAAUAAGCACCGGCUAACUACGUGCCAGCCGCCGCAGUAA
rnacentral:rRNA from 1 species